CAGUUCGGAUUGAAGGCUGAAACCCGCCUCCAUGAAGUUGGAUUCGCUGUAAUCGCGCAUCAGCCAUGGCGCGGUGAAUACGUUCCCGGGCCUUGUACACACCGCCCGUCAAGCCAUGGGAGCUGGGGGGUGGCCUGAAGUUCGUGACCGCAAGGAUCGACCUAGGGCAAAACCGGUGACUGGGGCUAAGUCGUAACAAGGUACC
rnacentral:rRNA from 1 species